CUCCCUUCCUCCAUACAGAGGGAUAAUGGACCCUCCUUUGUAUCAGAGGAUGAAGAGACAGCUCCUUAGUGAGGAUUUCAUCGCCUCUUCUGCUAAUUUGUCUCACUGCUGGGAAAGGAAGCCAUCGUGGACCUGGA